rnacentral:rRNA from 1 species
UACGAGGGGUGCAAACGUUAUUCGGAUUUAUUGGGCGUAAAGGGUGCGUAGACGGCAUAUUAAGUCAACUGUUAAAUCUUCCGGCCUAACCGGAAGUCUGCGGUAGAAACUGAUAUGAUUGAGGAUGGAAGAGAGAAGUGGAAUUCUCGGAGUAGCGGUAAAAUGCGUAGAUCUCGAGAGGAACACCGAUGGCGAAGGCAGCUUCUUGGUCCAAUCCUGACGUUGAGGUACGAAAGCGUGGGUAGCAAACAGG